rnacentral:rRNA from 1 species
GACGAACGCUGGCGGCGUGCUUAACACAUGCAAGUCGAGCGGUAAGGCCCCUUCGGGGGUACACGAGCGGCGAACGGGUGAGUAACACGUGAGCAACCUACCCUCAACUUCGGGAUAAGCCUCGGAAACAAGGUCUAAUACCGGAUAUCACUUGCUACCUCAUGGUGGUGGGUUGAAAGUUCUGGCGGUUGGGGAUGGGCUCGCGGCCUAUCAGCUUGUUGGUGGGGUAAUGGCCUACCAAGGCGUCGACGGGUAGCCGGCCUGAGAGGGCGACCGGCCACACUGGGACUGAGACACGGCCCAGACUCCUACGGGAGGCAGCAGUGGGGAAUAUUGCGCAAUGGACGAAAGUCUGACGCAGCAACGCCGCGUGAGGGAUGACGGCCUCGGUUGUAACU